GGGGGACCUGUGCCUCUGGGGCCUGACAGGCUCUGUGUUCCCAGGGAUCGCCGCCAGGUCCAUGAAGCAGGAGCAGCCAGAGCUGCAGCUCAUCUGCCAAGCCCUUCAAAGCAUGACUGAUGACAGCCCUGCUGUCUCAGACCUGGCACUUGAAACGCUCCACAUCAUCAGAGCUGUACAGAGAACUCCAUUCUUCCCAUUCUGGUAGUCUCCGUUGCUGCCUCUUCCAGCCCGUAGAGGCGUGACAGAUGACAUCAGACUCGCCAUGGCAGGCCUGGCAAUUCAACACUGCUACGUGCUGAGAACUGUACAGAUGGCUCCCUACUGCAGAUUCCAGCAGCUCCAAGACUGGCUGUGCAGGGCGUGGCAGGCCCGGCCUUUUCCACAGGGCAGUGUCUGCCUGUGCUGCUGACGCUCUGUGGAGAACUGAUGCAGGAAGCUCCAUCUCCUGGGGCCACCUGAGCCUGUGGGGAAGAUGCUUCUUCCCUGCAAGCACCUCCUUUGAGCCCAGCAUAGGAAUACAACCAAUAUGUUAUCA